rnacentral:rRNA from 1 species
AGUGAACGCUGGCGGUAGGCCUAACACAUGCAAGUCGAACGGCAGCACAGUAAGAGCUUGCUCUUACGGGUGGCGAGUGGCGGACGGGACAGGAAAACAUCCGAAUCUACUCUUUCGGGGGGGUUAACGUAGGGGAACUUACGCUAAUACCGCAUACGCCCUACGGGGGAAAGCAUGGGAUCUUCGGAGCUUGCGCGAUUGAAUGAGCCGCUGUCGGAUUUGCUGGUUGGCGGGGUAAAGGCCCAGCAAGGGGACGAUCCGUGGCUGGUCUGGGAGGAGGGUAGGCGACACUGGAACGGAGACACGGACCAGACUACUAAGGGAGGCAGCAGUGGGGAAUAUGGGACAAUGGUGGCAAGCCUGAUCCAGCCAUACCGCGUGGGUGAAGAAGGCCUUCGGGUUGUAAAGCCCUUUUGUUGGGAAAGAAAAGCAGCAGGUUGAUACCCCGCUGUUCUGACGGUACCCAAAGAAUAAGCACCGGCUAACUUCGUG